UCCCUCCCAACCCAAUCUGGCUCCCAAUUUGAACUCCCCCAAAAAAUUUCUAAAAAAUAGAAGCAAAACUCAAGACAAACAAAUCAAAACCCUAGCUUCCAAUUUCAUACCAAUGGUUUGCAACUAUUCGACCACUACAGUUCCCCUGCCCCUCCGUCGCCUCUCCUACCUUUGUCAGAUUCUACAACGAAGUCCCUAAUACGGCAAAGGAAAAAUCAAAGGAGUCCCUAAAUCGCCACCGGACCACCAUUAGUGCCUCCAGAACCUUCACAUCAACUCUAAUUCGAUAGCCGCUGCAACAAAACACAUCAACUUACAAGCAUGAGAGUAAUGAUCUUAAGGUGGUUAAUGACAUGUUGAAUCCAGCAGGGCAAAAUUAAAGAAUAAGGAGGAUAGUCAGGUGGAUUUGGGAAAGCCUUUUGGAAGCAAUGAUUACAUGGCACUUACCCCAUCAUGGGUUGUGUGUGUAGAUAACGAAGGUGGUUUGAUCCGAAGCAGGCUCGAUGUAAGAAAGAAAGGAAUCACAAAUCAAGUUGUUGAUUGACUAGGAGCGUUCAUCAUGUGGAACAUAGUAAUGGGUAAUGGUAAAAUGGGCGAUAAGUGUGGAUUAGAUGACAGACCUAAAGCGGUAUUCCUUGAUACACGCCAUGGGUGGACCAGAAACAACCCUCGCCUCUUCCACUUCCCCUCAUCGGCCUCAUCAAUUACAGGCCUUUGAAUGUGAAUUUUAAUAUUUGAUUGAAUGCUGCAAUUGAAGGGUCGUGCGUUUAUGGCGCUAAGGAAGAUGUUCCAAUUUAAGAUGUGCCAAUCAGUCACGCGAACAACCUGAACAGAUUUCACUUGAGGCAUUAAACACUCUAGCUAAAGGCAUAAUCGCUAUUUCGAAUCAGUUUCGUUUAUUGUAAACAAGUUUUUCACUCUAGGGCUUCGUAAUUGAGUCCCGUUUGUACCGCAACUAUCUAUUUCCAAUAGACGUAUAUCACUAUAAUACACAAUUUACAUAUUCAAUUAAGGGGAAUUGCGUUCCCUGAAAUUAUGUGAUUAGUUUAGUAUUAUUCCUGUAAUUUAUUAUAUCUAAUGGGUGUGUAUUUUUAAUUCUUUAAAUUGUUUCUGAUGUUGAUCUUUUUUUUUUGUAGCUUUUGGUACUUGGGGGGGUUCCUUUCAAGGUAGUGAUGUUUCAAGGUAAUAAUUUUCUGAGUUGUGGCGGAAGUCAAAUAGUUACCAAAAGUUGAUAAACCUAAUAUUCGGUGGCCAAAAUCUUUUCAUAGGUAUAGAAUGCCACUCAUUGACAAACCUAGAAAUGGACAACGGCUCUACGUGCUGGUUCUUCGACAACAUUUCUAUCCCCUCCAUCUUCUUCGAGGGCAGGCGAGCGCUCACCAUUUCAAUCAGGCAAAGGCAAGAAAGAAUUGAAAGCAAAACUUGUGAGUUAUUCGUACACAUUUUUCCAUCUGAUAGGCGAGCAUGUAUACGAAUACGGGCAUGCUUUUAUUGUGAUGGAGCAGUUCAAAACGAAGCUCGGAUCUCAUUGAUGCCGGGCGGCUAGACAUUGAUUUUGCAAUCAAAAUUUGGAGCAUUCCACAAAGGCAAAACAACCGGAUAUAAAUUUGCAGCACUUUCAAGUCUAAAAGCAAUGAGUAUAUGGAUUUGAAGACAACAACCUAGAAUUAGUUCUUAGUUUAUGUGUAGAGGCAUUCCCUUUGCAACUUUUGUAGAUAGGUUUUGAUUAGAAGUGUAUGUCUUUAAUUAGUAUUUAAGUUGAAAACUUAUGUAUGGAUUUUGGUUUAUUAUUGUUAAUAUCAUUUGGUUUUUAGGUUUUCUCA